GGAGAGGUGUCCGAGUGGCCUAAGGAGCACGCUUGGAAAGCGUGUGUAUGGGAGACUGUACCGCGGGUUCGAAUCCCGCCCUCUCCG
rnacentral:tRNA from 1 species